UACGGGGGGGGCAAGCGUUGUUCGGAAUUACUGGGCGUAAAGGGCUCGUAGGCGGCCAGCUAAGUCAGACGUGAAAUCCCUCGGCUCAACCGGGGAACUGCGUCUGAUACUGGAUGGCUUGAGUGUGGGAGAGGGAUGCGGAAUUCCAGGUUUAGCGGUGAAAUGCGUAGAUAUCUGGAGGAACACCGGUGGCGAAGGCGGCAUCCUGGACCACGACUGACGCUGAGGAGCGAAAGCCAGGGGAGCAAACGGG
rnacentral:rRNA from 1 species